rnacentral:rRNA from 1 species
GAUGAACGCUGGCGGCGUGCUUAACACAUGCAAGUCGAACGAUGACGCCCAGCAUGCUGGGUGGUUUCGUGGCGAACGGGUGAGUAACACGUGAGUAACCUGCACUUAACUCUGGGAUAGGCCAGGGACAGUGGGCCUAAUACCGGAUAGGAGAGCCCACCGAAAGGAGGGUGUUGGACAGAUUUGUCGGUUUUGGUUGGACGCGCGGCUUAUGAGCUUGUUGGUGGGGGAAUGGACCACCAAGGGGGCGACGGAUAGCCCACCUGAGAGGGGGACCGGCCACCAUGCGACUGAGACACGGACCAGUCGCCUACGGUGGGCAGCGGGGGGGAAUAUGGUGCAGCGGGCGCGAGCGUGUGGCAGCGGCGCCGCGUUAGUGAUGACCGCCUUCGGGUUGGAAACCGCUUUCAGUAGAGAAGAAGCGUCAUUGACGGUACCUGCAGAAGAAGCACCGGCUAACUACGUG